AGGGCCUGCGCAGCAGCCUGAAGCAUCAUGUUUCAGAGCACGUCAUUGUGACUUUUGGAAGGUGGUUUCUACCUUGGACGCUUAUGACCAAGCAGGACCUACUGAGGAAUGCCACUCAGUUCUAAUAUGAAAGGUGAAGGUGGUCACUGCUCCGUGAACUCUCGGUCACCUGUGAGCGCGAGCACCUGCAGUGACUGAGUUGCAUCGACCAUAGAGGGAAUUGCCACAAGUAGCAUCAUCGGAUGGAGCACAGACUGCCAUAUGCACUGACCAUGCACGCCGAAUUUCGUUGUGGGCAUCUUGUCUACUGGCCUUAAACAGCAGCAACGGUCUGAGCAGCGUUCCGGUUGCACUGGUUCCAACAAAUGGGGAGUCCAUUCGAAUGAAGAAUCCGAAAAGCAUUCAGCAAGAGGUUCGGAAGGUGACUGAACACUUCCAAUUGAUCACUGAGGGGCGUCAGUUUGGUCGCGGAGGUAUUUUGUGCUAUUCACCAGACCAGGCCUGCGUUGCAGAUCUUCUAAAAUGCACUACAUUUGCCUCCCUCCUGGUGA
rnacentral:lncRNA from 1 species